UGCCUUAUCCUUGGAUAUAUAUUUUAAUAAUAUAAAUGAUUUUUAAAAAUCGAACCCGGGGCGCCCGCGUGGCAGGCGAGCAUUCUACCACUGAACCACCGAUGC